ACGACUCUCGGCAACGGAUAUCUUGGCUCUUGCAUCGAUGAAGAACGUAGCGAAAUGCGAUACUUGGUGUGAAUUGCAGAAUCCCGUGAACCAUCGAGUCUUUGAACGCAAGUUGCGCCCGAGACCUUUAGGUUGAGGGCACACCUGCUUGGGCGUCAUGCU
rnacentral:rRNA from 1 species